rnacentral:rRNA from 1 species
GCGUGCUUCAGUGCUGUGCUCGCGGACGGCAUGCAUCGAUUAGGAUGGGGAGAACAGGGCCAUCGGGAAUUCGGCUGGAUCCGUCCAGUGUUGUAGCCCGGAGGUCAAUGGAGCCUCUUCUGACCGUUGAGUGUCUUGCGAUUGUCAGCCGCCCGUCUUGAAACACGGACCAAGGAGUGCACCUUGCAUGCGAGUCGAAGGGACUGUAAUCCCAAAGGCGAAGCGAAAGCGAAGGCUGCGAACCCUCACGGCGUCGGCAGCACCCGCCUUGUGCGAGGUAGAGCAUGUAGGGUGCGACCCGAAAGAUGGUGAACUAUGCCCGGGUAAGGUGAAGCCAGUGGAAACGCUGGUGGAGGCCUGUAGCGGUUCUGACGUGCAGAUCGAUCGUGUAACCUGGGUAUAGGGGCGAAAGACCUAUCGAACCGUCUAAUGGCUGGUUCCCCCCGAAGUUUCCCUCAGGAUAGCUGUGUCCCUAUUGUCAGUUGCACGCGGUAAAGCGAAUGAUUAGGUGUCUCGGGGACGUUAUUGUCCUCGGCUCAUUCUCAAACUGUGAAUUGUGUGCGCACCGCGCGUGACCUAACGGCACGCCGGGCGAAUGACAGGACGCAAGUGGGCUGGUUUUGGUAAGCAGAACUGGCG